UUUUUUUUUUCUUUACGGGAAAUUAGGUGAAUUUUUAUGAUAAUUGAAUAAAUUGAAAGGGGAAAAAUAAAAAUCUAUCGGUGGAAUCGGGAAAUCUUGUAGUGGAAUUCGAGUGUUGGUAGCUAUGGGGAAGAAGAGGAAAUCGAUAGCCACGAGCCUGGACGAGGUGGAUCGGACCAUGUAUGCUUCAUUUUGCAGCGCUGCUAACUCUCUCUCUCAGCUAUAUACCCAGGCUAUGAACCACCAGAAACUUUCCUUCCAAGCCGGUGAACGUCACGGCCUUGAACAACUUUAUCAGUGGAUUUGGAGACAACAAGAGGGAGGAUCAAGAGUAGCAACAGUUGAUAUACUCAGUUACAUUCAGGUUUUCCUAAUUUAUUUACAAUCUAUUCUCUUUUUUCCUUUGACUUUAUAUUUGUGUUUUAAAAAGGUUUUUUGAUGCAUCAUGGUUGCAUUACCUUGUGCCUUUGUAAUAUUUCCGAAUAUUCAACAUCUACUUUUGCCUGUAUUUGUGUUUGUGUGUGAUGAUGACCCUGCAUUAGCUAUGAAUCUGAGUGUGAGAUGUAGUAACCUAGAGUUCCAAAUAGCAACGUCCUUUGAAUUGAAUUUUGUUACAAUCAUAAUCACAUCUUUACGUAUCGAUGUUAUACUCUUCCACUGGUAUCUAUGCAGUCAAGGAAAACCAAAUUUAAGGAUUAUGAUAUCCAAUUCUUAAUUAUUAAAACUUUCUUCUAAAUUUUUCUGUUUGGGAAGUUCACUGUUUUAGUAAUGUUAGGAAUUUUUGUUUUCAUUAGGAAUAUUCAAAAGGCUUUUUUUGCUUCCUAUUUAGUAUUAGUUUAAUUCUUCCUAGUAUAAGUUAUUUAAGACCCUAAUACCAAUAUUGCUAGCUAUUUUCUUAGUUUUUUGGUGGUAGAAUUUUUAUUUUGAUUUGAUUUGGAAUUCUUGCUUUAUUUUUUCUUUCUUUCCUUUUUUCUCUCAUCAUCUCUAUCUUUGCCUCUAUUGCUGCUCCUUUCCUCAGUUGCUAGAAUAUUGCUGGUAGGUGCUGUUCACUGCCCCGCAUUUCAUUUCUUUUCUCUCUCUAAUUAGCUCUGUUUUGAUUUGCUAACCCUAAGCUCUACUUUCUUAAAUCUAAACACUAAAACUUGGUAAUUGCUUGAGAUUGGCCUACUGAAAAAGCAUUAGAAGGCUAGUUGGUCAACCUGUCCUACUUUAGUUUGGUAUCAAAGUGGUAGACCCUCAUUAUUUGAACUUGAUGAAGAGCACUUAAGGGCUGAAAUUCAAAGAUCACAAAAAACUGAAAGCGAUGGUUACAAUGUGUGAUUGGACAAGUUGUUUUAUCUAAAGGAUGUGUAUGGUGGUAUAGAAAGAGCUCCUUUGUGCUUACUCUCUGAUUUUUAGCAGUCAAUCAUCUUUUUAAGUUUAAAGAGCAACUUGAUGCAUGGAGAAUUGUUGCAUCUAUAUAGUGAUAACUAGACAUAGGCACAUCCAGGUUUGACUGGAACUCGCCUGGUCAAAACCAGACCGAAAACAUUGACACCCGGAUUUGACAAGAAUCAUCUUGAAUUGGAGCAAAACUGGAACAAACUGAUUUUGAUUGGUUCGGUUUGGUUCUGGAUCAAAACCAGAUUUUUUCGCCUUUUAAAAAAAAAAAAAAUUGAUGUCAGAUUUGUUUAAACUGGAUAGAACUGAACUGGGAUCAAAUCGAACCUGAACCAGGAUCAGAACCAAGGGGAACCCUUCAACCUAGUCCUACGUCCCCAGCCCUUAGGAUCAGAACCAGACUGUGCCCAUGCCCAAUGAUAAUAACACCUUAAUCCUACAAAUAUUCCCAUUUUUACUGUUGAGAAUGAAAGGAUUUGAUUGUUAAGACAUUAAAGAAUGUGUGAGCAACUAAAAAUUAUGAAAUCCUAUUUCUUGUUAAGACAUAAAAUGUGAUUUUGAUAAAUUUUUCCUAAUUUCCCAAUCAAAUGUUUAACAAGAUUUUUAAGUAAGAAAAGUCUAAUAUUUAAUAGCAAAAAUAUGUAUAUAAUUAUUUCCUAUGAAAUACUUGAUGAAAAGAUUAGUAAUGAACUUCAUUAAAUUCUUUGAUUGGAUUUUGCCAGGGAUAUCAUCUCUUUAUUUGGCACGGAUGGUAACAAAUAAGUAAUCAUAAAUAGUUGGUUAUGAGAUCUAUAAAAUAUAACUAAUGAUAAAACAAAUAAUAAGUAGUUAAAUAUAAAAAGUUUUUGCUCAUGGCUUCACUACAAUUUGUGUCAAACUUGCCUUGGGAGAAAAUGUAUUGGAAGCUUUUUGGGUAUGAUUUGCAAAUAUCUUGUGUUUGAAGAUUUUUAUACUUUUCACAUAGAAAAAACAUGAAAUUUAGAUUCAUGUGACAAGAUGAGAACCUGAGACUACUAAUAAUCGUGCAGUUUUAGCAGCAAAAUUAUACAAAUUUUAUGUUUCUCUGCUGGAAGGAUUGAUGAAAUAUGACCCUUAUGUUUACUACAAACUCGUUGGGGCUUGGUUUUGUUGAUUACCAAGGAAUCAUUUGCUAUUGUUGCUUAGUUUUUGUUUUGGUUGCAGACUUGCACUAUGUAAAAGAAGCAUUUUAGUUACAUACAUGUAAACAUACACGGUUGUAGAUAUUUAUGAUGUUGUACGAUUGCAAAAUGCAAUGCUUCUUGUAGAAUGAGCUGGACUAUUGUGGAGAAGAGCUGCCAUUGUCCCCCCGAGCGCCACAACAUCAGAAUUCCCAACCAAUUCAGUUCUCAAAUUCCAGCUUCCUUGUUUCAUCAGGUUCGUCUGGUCCAAUAACUGCUGGCCAAGGUACUCGCACUGAGCACUGUGAUCAACAACCCAAGAAUUCAGUUUUCUCAAAUGCUUUGUCAAGCCCUGUCCGGAGGAGUCUCCAGAAUUAUCACAUUGCUCAGGACAGCUAUUAUCCACCUGGCGGUCCACCGUCAGGAAAUGGAACCCGCAGUAACGAGCCCAACUUUCUUCAGCACCAGAACAGGGAUCCUAAUCCUGUUAGUUCCAAUGACUCUUCGAUGGAUAUCUAAGAUAGUAGGUGUAAAAGCUUGGUGGCAUGCGUACUGGUUAAAAGAAUCAGAGGGCUGUUGCAAUUGCAUUAAGGUUUUGGCACAUAGAAAUGGUUACUUCAUACAAGAAUAAUUGCAUGACGCUGCUUGCUUGUUGAAGUGUGUGGAGAAGAAUAGGUAAAUCGUGUGGGUUGGCAUGGGGCAAAAUGGUAUAUGAUGAGCACUGUAACCUAUUAGUUCAUCUUUUAUUGUCUUUCGAAUGCUUAGGAUGGGUCUUCUAUGUCAUGUAAAGCUUCUUGUCGAAUUGACUUGGCUACUUAUAAGAUGGUAAUAUUUGUUGCAUUUUAGCUUUUGUUUUACUUCUUUAGAUUGUCAUCGUUAAUGAUAUACGUCUGUAAAAAAUAAUUCAUGUUCAUGGUGCAUUGCUAAUUUUUAUUUAUUUUUUUUUAAAGUAGGAUGGAUAUUUAUUUAAGUGAAAAGCUGUGAAAUUAUAACUAAGCCAUCUCACUGGGC
rnacentral:misc_RNA from 1 species